UACAGAGGUCUCAAGCGUUGUUCGGAAUUACUGGGCGUAAAGGGUGCGCAGGCCGCGCGGGCAGUCAAUUGUGUAAUUCAGGGGCUCAACCCCUGGACUGCGCUUGAUACUUCCGCGCUCGAGCUUUGGAGAGGAGUCUGGAAUUCUCGGUGUAGCAGUGAAAUGCGUGGAUAUCGAGAGGAACACCUGCGGCGAAGGCGGGUUGCUGGGCUGACACUGACGCUGAUGCGCGAAAGCCAGGGGAGCGAACGGG
rnacentral:rRNA from 1 species